AACGAACGCUGGCGGCAGGCUUAACACAUGCAAGUCGAGCGGGCCCUUCGGGGUCAGCGGCGGACGGGUUAGUAACGCGUGGGAACGUGCCUUCUGCUCUGGAAUAGCCCUGGGAAACUGGGGGUAAUACCGGAUGUGCCCUGAGGGGGAAAGGUUUACCGGCAGGAGAUCGGCCCGCGUCUGAUUAGGUAGUUGGUGGGGUAACGGCCCACCAAGCCGACGAUCGGUAGCUGGUUUGAGAGGAUGAUCAGCAACACUGGGACUGAGACACGGCCCAGACUCCUACGGGAGGCAGCAGUGGGGAAUCUUAGACAAUGGGGGCAACCCUGAUCUAGCUAUGCCGCGUGGAUGAUGAAGGCCUUAGGGUCGUAAAGUCCUUUCGCCGGGGAAGAUAAUGACGGUACCCGGUAAAGAAGCCCCGGCUAACUCCGUGCCAGCCGCCGCGGUAA
rnacentral:rRNA from 1 species